rnacentral:rRNA from 1 species
AUACGUAGGGGGCAAGCGUUAUCCGGAUAUACUGGGUGUAAAGGGAGCGUAGACGGAAUGGCAAGUCUGAUGUGAAAGGCCGGGGCUCAACCCCGGGACUGCAUUGGAAACUGUCAGGCUAGAGGGCAGGAGGGGGAAGCGGAAUUCCUAGUGUAGCGGUGAAAUGCGUAGAUAUUAGGAGGAACACCGGUGGCGAAGGCGGCUUACUGGACUGUAACUGACGUUGAGGUUCGAAAGCGUGGGGAGCAAACAGGAUUAGAUCCCCUGGUAGUCCACGCCGUAAACGAUGAAUACUAGGUGUAGGGGUUGUCAUGACCUCUGUGCCGCCGCUAACGCAUUAAGUAUUCCGCCUGGGGAGUACGGUCGCAAGAUUAAAACUCAAAUGAAUUGACGGGG